GACGAACGCUGGCGGCGUGCUUAACACAUGCAAGUCGAACGAGGUCCACCGCGUAGCAAUACAAGGGAAGACCUAGUGCGAACGGGUGCGUAACACGUGAGGAACUUGUCCCGGUCUCUGGGAUAACAGUUGGAAACGACUGCUAAUACCGGAUGACGUCGGAAUCUCGCAUGGGAUACUGACGAAAGGGUUACUGGAUCGGGAGAGCCUCGCGGCCUAUCAGCUUGUGGUGAGGUAACGGCUCACCAAGGCAUCGACGGGUAGCUGGUCUGAGAGGAUGGAUCAGCCACACUGGGACUGAGACACGGCCCAGACUCCUACGGGAGGCAGCAGUGGGGAAUCUUGCGCAAUGGGCGAAAGCCUGACGCAGCAACGCCGCGUGCGGGAAGAAGGCCCUCGGGGUUGUAAAACCCG
rnacentral:rRNA from 1 species